UUAAUAAUUUAAAUAAUUAAAAUAUAUUUUUUUUUAUUUUUUAAAAUAAUUAGUAAAAUAUUAUUAAAUUUAAAAUUAAAAAAUUUUAGUAUAAAAUUAGAAAAAAAAAGAUAUUUAUAGUAAAUUAGUAAUGUGAAUGAAAUUUGAAAAAAAUUAAAAAUGAAAUAAUUAAAAGAUAAAUUAAAUUUUUUUAUCUUGUGUAUAAGAGUUUAAAAAUUAUAUAAUAUUAUAAAAUAUUUUUUUCGAAAAAAAUUAAGAGAUAAAAUUUUUAAAUUUUAAUUGUAAAAAAACUUUUAAGUAAAAAAUUUUUGUAAUGAAAAGUUAUUCGAUUUUUUUUAUUUCUAAUUUUUAAAGAAAAAAAUUUAAUUUUAAUUUUAAUUUUGAUUAAUAUUUAAAUUUAAUAAAAAAUUAAUUAUUUAUAUUUAUAGGGAUAAGCUUAUAUUUAAAAUUUUAUAUUAUAAAUUUAAUUAUAAUAAAAUUUUAAAAUUAAUAUUUUUAAUUAAAGUUUAAAGUUUUUAAUAAAUUAUUUAUUGAAAUUUUUAUUUAUUUUAGGUUUAAAAAUUAAAAAUUUAUUUAAAAUUAUUUAUAAAUUUAAAUUAAUUAAAUUUAAUGUUAAAAUUAGUAUAAAAUUUAUAUUUAAAAUGGAUGAAAAUUAAAUUAAUUUAAAGAAUUAGGCAAAAAAAAAUUAUUUAUAAUAGUUUAUUUCACCUGUUUAACAAAAACAUGUCUUUUUGUGAUAAAUAAUAAGUCUAAUCUGCCCACUGAUAAAUUGAUAAAAUUAAAGGGCUGCAGAAAUUUAACUGUACAAAGGUAGCAUAAUAAAUUGUUUUUUGAUUAAAAACUAGAAUGAAUGAUUUAAUGAAAAUAAAGCUUUUUUAAAUUAAAUAAAUAGAAUUUGAUUUUUUUGUUAAAAAUCAAAAAUUUUUAUUUUAGACGAGAAGACCCUUUAGAUUUUAAUUAAAGGUUUUUUAAAUAGUUAGUUUUAAGUUUAAUUUAUAAAGAUUUAAUUUAAUUGGGGUGAUUGUUAAAUUUAAUUAACUUUAAUUUAUAAAUAAAAGAUUUUAAUUGAAGAAAUUUUAAAAAUAAAAUGAUUUAAUUUGUUGGAUUAAAAGAAUAAAUUACCUAAGGGAUAACAGCGUAAUUUUAAUUUUUAGAUCUUAUAAAAAUUAAAGAUUGCGACCUCGAUGUUGGAUUAAGAUUAAUUAGAAAUGAAGUUGUUUUUACUUUUAGUCUGUUCGACUAUUAAAAUCUUACAUGAUCUGAGUUCAAACCGGUGUGAGCCAGGUUGGUUUCUAUCUAAAUUAAUAAUUUAAAUUUUUAGUACGAAAGGAUUGAUUUUUAAAAAUAAUUAAUUUUACUUUAAGUUUAUUGAAUAAAAAUAAAAUAAUUUUUAGAUGAA
rnacentral:rRNA from 1 species